rnacentral:sRNA from 1 species
UCGGCUCCAGUAUGUAGUCGAUAUAGCCAACUGACGUUGUUAGUGAAUACACUUGUUCACACUAUCUAGGGCCAGUCACUUUGAUGUGAUUGGUCUUUUUUUU